UGUUGCUAGGUAACUGUUGGGCAGGUUGUAGAAGGAAUGCUAACAUCAUGGAAUUAUAAUAAGCAUUUAGGAAAUGCUUAAAAUAGUGCUUGGUGGGUACACCCCUUGCUCACAGCUCAGUGUGAGGAAGGCCAUGCUGACUGGGUGAAGUGCAACUUCUGCCUGUCCUGGCUGCUUGAGCCCACCUUUGUGUCACCAACAAAAGCUCACUCAGGCCUCCAAGGGAGGAGACACCACCCAGCUGUGCAGGCUCAAAAGUGGGGAUAGGGGUGUGGGAACGUGUUGAAGUGGGGUAACACACACUACACACACACACACACACACACACACACACACACACACACACACACACAAAACGAAGUGUACAGAAGUCGGAAGUGACACAGUGGCUGCCAUCCCAAAAGCAGCACUUCCACCUCUGCUCCUUUCUAUGAACUCCAAGGCCAGUGGGUGUCUCUUAUCACCUUGCUUCAUCCUUCUCCAGUCUAAUGAGGUGCAAGGGUGCUACCUUCUCUUCCUGGGCCAAUGUGGUUACAGAUGAUGUGGGACUUCCCAUGUAUUAAUUAGCUUAUUCUACAUAGCAGCCCUGUGAACUAACCCCUGUGUAUAGGCUGAGGAACGUGAGGAACUUUCCUUCUGCAUUUAUUAGUUGCUAUUUCUUACAAAGAAAAUGUUUUCUCUUCGCCCCCUUAUCUCAUUAUAGUCAUCCCAAGGUUCUUCUAAAAUUCAACAUUACAAUUAUGUUCAGUAUUUAAUAUUUAGGUGUUUCUAAGGUAAUCAAUUUCAAACUGGUUCUAGGAACUUUGAUAAGCCCUAGUAUUUUGUUCAUUUUACUAUCUCACAUAAAAUUUUCCAAGUCACAUCAUACUGAUGAGACGUAGAAGACAUGUACUUCCAAAGGAAAAAUUAGCCCCAGGGCUAAAUCAUUCUGCACCAAGGUUCAGUAUAUAAUAAGGAAGGAGGGAUAACAGGAAGGAGAUAAUGUCUGUUCUCAGAAGUUGUUCAAAUGGGGUAACACCUGAAACCUGGUUUGUUAUUUUAAACUUUUAAAAUCUGUAGCUUAACCCAAGCUAACUGCUUUUCAUUGACCCUUGUAACCUGCUAGCUUGCUUCUCCCUACCCAGCAAUAAGAACUAUAUAAAAGGAUGCAGAGAGCUUUGGUUGGUACCCGUUCUCUUCUGAGCAAAGAGCUGACCAGUUGUAAUAAAGUUUUGAACCUCACCAUCAGCAGCCUGGGGGGAUGGGUGGAGGUUCCUUUUUCAGUGGUUUGUGAGGAUUGCAUCAGGCUAUAACAAUACUUUCCUGUUUUAAACCAGGACUCUGUCCUUGUUGCAUGAGGUUAUGGUUCCUUUUAGAGGACAGCAGUAUAUUGAGGACCAAAUGUGGGUUUUGUACAACAGACUGUCAAGCAGAAACAUAGCUUUCACCUUAAAGGAGAAAAGAGUUUAUUCAGGACCCAAAUAAGAACAAUCACCUGAAGGGAAUAAAAGUUUACAUUACCCCAAAUUCCACAUUCCAAUGUUGCAUCAGUUUCAAGAAGGUUUUGUUUUCUUUUGUUUGUUUUUUAUAGUAACUGAACAAAGGAAGCCAUAAAUCAAGGCACUUCCUAUGUCCAUUGAAGGAAACAUGGUUACAGUAAAGAAGAGAAAUCUCAGCUAGAGGCGCUAAUGUUCUCUGACAAAUCUUAAGCCUUUGAGGAAAACACCUAAUGACUUCUGGGACACUGGUGCACGGGACCCCGGAAAAAGGUGUGGCAGGCCCUCCUGGUUGCAGCCCUCCCGGAGAGCUCAAAAGCAGCCCCCAGGAGAAACUACAGCCGAGGGACCACAGCAACAGAACAGACUUGGGAACUGAACUGCAGCAAUGAGCCAGAAUAUCGCAGAAUAUUUAAGCUUGCAAAUCAUAAACAUCUGUGCCAAGUUAUUGUUACAUUUUCCUACCAAUCUGGAUAGGAGUUGAUUCCAGGGGCUGGAAAUGUGAACUCAGUUUCAACCCACCAGCAAGAUGGAAGACUUGUCCCUGAGAUGGCUGGACUCAAGACUACUCUCUCCUUACAGCAGAAGCUGUCUGUUCUGGAACCCAAGCUCUCUUAGGACUUAGAACUUUGAAUUUAGUUUUCCGCUAUGAUUAAAUGGAGUCUGAAAACAAAAUGGC